UUACUUUCCUAGACGAAUCCAAGGUUGAUCAGGGACCAUUGCCUAGGAUGGUGACCUCCAUUGCACUUGGGAGGUGCACCUGCCAACAUCCCCCCAAGCAGGAGAGUGUACGGCAUAAUUUGUGUUAGUGGGGCCUGCGUGCGCCCAGCCCUCCU